rnacentral:rRNA from 1 species
GAUGAACGCUGGCGGCGUGCUUAACACAUGCAAGUCGAACGAAGCAAUUUAGCGGAAGUUUUCGGAUGGAAGCUAAAUUGACUGAGUGGCGGACGGGUGAGUAACGCGUGGGUAACCUGCCUCACACUGGGGGACAACAGUUAGAAAUGACUGCUAAUACCGCAUAAGCGCACAGGGCCGCAUGGUCCGGUGUGAAAAACUCCGGUGGUGUGAGAUGGACCCGCGUUUGAUUAGCUAGUUGGUGGGGUAACGGCCUACCAAGGCGACGAUCAAUAGCCAACCUGAGAGGGUGGCCGGCCACAUUGGGACUGCGACACGGCCCAAACUCCUACGGGAGGCAGCAGUGGGGAAUAUUGCACAAUGGGGGAAACCCUGAUGCAGCGACGCCGCGUGAGCGAAGAAGUAUUUCGGUAUGUAAAGCUCUAUCAGCAGGGAAGAAAAUGACGGUACCUGAUUAAGAAGCCCCGGCUAACUACGUGCCAGCAGCCGCAGUAA